rnacentral:tRNA from 1 species
CGGGAUGUAGCGCAGCUUGGUAGCGCGCCUGCUUUGGGAGCAGGAUGUCGUCGGUUCGAAUCCGGCCAUCCCGA